rnacentral:misc_RNA from 1 species
UACAUGUUUACAUUAUACGUACCUAGAUAAAAACUUGCUCCUAAUCGUACGUACACCUACACUUAAAUAGCUUUAAGUCUAUCAGCACAAGUAUAUUAAUACACAUACGCAUCGCUAUACAUUCAUAUACACAUAUAUAAAUAUGUACAAACAUACAUACACAUAUACUGGAAAGCAAACAUCAGUAUUGACUCACAUAUAUAUUAAUACAAGCUAACAUCUUGGAAUACAAAAGGAUUAAGGUAAUAACAAUAAUGAUGAUAAUAUAAAAAGAUUAAUAAAUAUAUAAAUGAUGAAGUCUUAAAAAUAUAACAUGUCUUGACAAAUUAGUGGUAUCCAGGGUUUCGGAAUAUCCGAUAGAAAAUGCUGCGUGGAGAAGUCAGAUCGGGAAUUAAUUAAGAACACAAAACAAUAUCCACGAAUCCACGACGUACGAGCCCGGAAGACGACGUCAACUAUUUCACCGAUAUGUCUCAAGUAUGGUAACUAUAACUAUGUUAACGACAAGCAUUUAUCAAAAGUGGAGUAUGGUUUCAUUAAAACCGCCAUUAGUAGGUUCGACAUGAAAAUAAACAAGAUUCGAAAAGACAAUGUUUCGAACUUCACCACGGCGGUAGUUAACGUAGUUAACAGGAUGGCAUCUCUUAAAUAGAAAACCGACGUUUCUCCGAGAAACAUGAAUUGUUUUCGAUUAAAAACAUAUUGUUUCUAGAGACAGCCAAGCUGUUUCUAGACCGCUAGGUAUUCUUUAAUGAUGGAAAUGAAUUCGCUGAGUAAGAACAAUUACCCUGGAGUUAAGCUUGACACACAACACCUGCAUGAACAUAUACUUCAGAACUCGAGUGUAUUCUAUAUAGAUACCUCUGGGCAAAGCAACAUAGUGAGUUCGUCCUCAAUGACCGAAACUUACAAAUCAUAUCUUAGUUGCACAGAAGCUCAAAAGCAAUAUAGUUGCGGCGUACUGAUCACGAUUAUUCUCGGUACACUAUGGGUUGGUUUCACCCAGUUUUCCAAGAAUACCUACACAGAGUCUUUCACAGCUCCAUUGAUCGUCGUGUAUUUCCACACGUCUUGGCUGGUGGUUUUCUAUCCAGUUUAUAUCACAGUCGUUUUCAUUGUAGCCCGUGGUUCUAUACAGCUGAAGCAGUUAUACAGUGAAAACUUCAAGAUUUACAAGGAAGAAACGAAGCUGGUACGUUUUUCAGUGAGGACAUGUGCCUUUUGUUUUAUUUGGGCAAUCAGUAACUACAGCUACAUUCGGGCGCUUCAGCUUCUCGAUUCUGUGGACGUCAUAGCGCUCUACUCAACCAAUCAGAGUUUUGUCUACAUGUUGUCAUGGAUUAUAUUAUUCGAAAAAUUCAUCGCUAUAAGAAUACUGGCUAUCAUAUUCUCCAUUACAGGAAUCGUCUUAUUCGCUUAUGCUGAUGGUUUUGGCACUUCCAAUAUGUGGGGGGUUGUACUGGCCGUCGUAUCGGCUUCUGCUGCUGCUGUCUAUAAAAUUUUCUGUAAAAAGUUCAUUGGGGAAGUUAAUUUUGGAAAGAUUUCACUAUUCUUGUCUUUAGUAGGUUUGACGAAUCUUCUAGUACUCUGGCCAUUCGUCCUCUUGUUUUACUUCACUAAAACCGAGUUCGUUGACUGGUUUGAUCUACCUUGGACGCCACUCUGUGCUUCGGCUGUCUUCACCACAGCACACCAACUGGUAUUUAAUUAUUCAGGAGUCUUCACAAUCACCUUCUUCAUAGAAACAGCUCUUCUAUUUGGCAUUCCUCUGGGUGCAAUUGCUGACAUUGUAUGGAGAAAUAGCCAUUUUUCAGGAAUGAAAAUAUCUGCAUUGGUUUUAAUCGAAGUUGGACUUUUGCUUACCAUCUUACCAGAAGGUUGGCAUCAUCACGUUAUGCGUGGUUUUAGAUUCGUCAAAGAAUUAGUAUCAAAGCCGCCACCUGAAGAAGAUAUCCCGCCUCAGACUUCAAGAUUCGAAUGGAGAAAUUCGAUCAAUUGAUUCUUCUCAAAGGACAUUGUAGUAUUUUAUACAAAAACAACGGUGACACUGGGCACAAGAUUUAUUACUCUCCUGUUUAAAAUGGACAUCGAUAGAAACCAUACAAGCUACACAGGACCAGUGAAGGGGAUUUAGAAAAACAAAACAACAACAACAAAAA